rnacentral:rRNA from 1 species
GGGGAAUUUUUGGACAAUGGGCGAAAGCCUGAUCCAGCAAUGCCGCGUGUGUGAAGAAGGCCUUCGGGUUGUAAAGCACUUUUGUCCGGAAAGAAAUCCUUGGCUCUAAUACAGUCGGGGGAUGACGGUACCGGAAGAAUAAGCACCGGCUAACUACGUGCCAGCAGCCGCGGUAAUACGUAGGGUGCAAGCGUUAAUCGGAAUUACUGGGCGUAAAGCGUGCGCAGGCGGUUUGCUAAGACCGAAUGUGAAAAUCCCCGGGCUCAACCUGGGAACUGCAUUGGUGACUGGCAGGCUAGAGUAUGGCAGAGGGGGGUAGAAAUUCCACGUGUAGCAGUGAAAAUGCGUAGAGAUGUGGAGGAAUACCGAUGGCGAAGGCAGCCCCCUGGGGCCAAAUACUGACGCUCAUGCACG